CGGGACACGUGGUAUCCUGUCUGAAUAUGGGGGGACCAUCCUCCAAGGCUAAAUACUCCUGACUGACCGAUAGUGAACCAGUACCGUGAGGGAAAGGCGAAAAGAACCCCGGCGAGGGGAGUGAAAAAGAACCUGAAACCGUGUACGUACAAGCAGUGGGAGCACGCUUAGGCGUGUGACUGCGUACCUUUUGUAUAAUGGGUCAGCGACUUAUAUUCUGUAGCAAGGUUAACCGAAUAGGGGAGCCGAAGGGAAACCGAGUCUUAACUGGGCGUUAAGUUGCAGGGUAUAGACCCGAAACCCGGUGAUCUAGCCAUGGGCAGGUUGAAGGUUGGGUAACACUAACUGGAGGACCGAACCGACUAAUGUUGAAAAAUUAGCGGAUGACUUGUGGCUGGGGGUGAAAGGCCAAUCAAACCGGGAGAUAGCUGGUUCUCCCCGAAAGCUAUUUAGGUAGCGCCUCGUGAAUUCAUCUCCGGGGGUAGAGCACUGUUUCGGCAAGGGGGUCAUCCCGACUUACCAACCCGAUGCAAACUGCGAAUACCGGAGAAUGUUAUCACGGGAGACACACGGCGGGUGCUAACGUCCGUCGUGAAGAGGGAAACAACCCAGACCGCCAGCUAAGGUCCCAAAGUCAUGGUUAAGUGGGAAACGAUGUGGGAAGGCCCAGACAGCCAGGAUGUUGGCUUAGAAGCAGCCAUCAUUUAAAGAAAGCGUAAUAGCUCACUGGUCGAGUCGGCCUGCGCGGAAGAUGUAACGGGGCUAAACCAUGCACCGAAGCUGCGGCAGCGACGCUGAUGCGUUGUUGGGUAGGGGAGCGUUCUGUAAGCCUGUGAAGGUGUACUGUGAGGUAUGCUGGAGGUAUCAGAAGUGCGAAUGCUGACAUAAGUAACGAUAAAGCGGGUGAAAAGCCCGCUCGCCGGAAGACCAAGGGUUCCUGUCCAACGUUAAUCGGGGCAGGGUGAGUCGACCCCUAAGGCGAGGCCGAAAGGCGUAGUCGAUGGGAAACAGGUUAAUAUUCCUGUACUUGGUGUUACUGCGAAGGGGGGACGGAGAAGGCUAUGUUGGCCGGGCGACGGUUGUCCCGGUUUAAGCGUGUAGGCUGGU
rnacentral:rRNA from 1 species